rnacentral:tRNA from 1 species
GUUGGGUUAGAAUAGGUGGCUAAUUCGUGAGAUUUUCAAUCUCAAGAGAUGGGUUCAAGUCCCAUACCCAAUACA